ACGAAACCAACGCCUGACUUGAAGCGGCUACUGCUGAGGUCUCUGGCAUCCACAAGCAUGGGGAAUAUCUUCGCAAACCUCUUCAAGGGCCUCUUUGGCAAAAAAGAAAUGCGCAUUCUCAUGGUGGGCUUGGAUGCUGCCGGAAAGACGACUAUUCUUUAUAAACUGAAGCUUGGUGAAAUUGUAACCACCAUUCCUACCAUAGGUUUCAAUGUGGAGACGGUUGAAUACAAGAACAUCAGCUUCACCGUAUGGGAUGUGGGUGGUCAGGACAAGAUUUGACCACUGUGGCGCCACUAUUUCCAGAACACCCAAGGCUUGAUCUUUGUGGUGGACAGCAAUGACAGAGAGUGUGUGAACGAGGCCCGUGAAGAGCUCAUGAGGAUGCUGGCUGAGGACGAGCUCAGGGACGCUGUCCUCCUCGUGUUUGCCAACAAGCAGGACCUCCCCAACGCCAUGAAUGCAGCUGAAAUCACAGACAAGCUGGGGCUGCACUCUCUACGCCACAGGAACUGGUACAUUCAGGCCACCUGUGUCACCAGUGGGGAAGGGCUCUAUGAAGGAUUGGACUGGCUCUCCAAUCAGCUCCGAAACCAGAAGUGAACCAGAACCCCCCUUCCCCUCACUUCCUCCUUCUCUGCCCUCCGCUUUCCUCUCAUGUGGCAAAUGUUGCGACUCUGUGGUCCUGAGUGCCAGAAGCUGUCUCCUUGGGUUGGUCACAGUGUGCAUGCAUCGUGCUGUACAUGUGCAGACACAGCCUGCAGCCAGGUUUUUAUUUAAUGUAAAUAGUUUCUGUUUCCACUGAGGCAGUUUCUGGUACUCCUAUGCAAUAUUACUCAGCUUUUUUAUUGUAAAGAA